rnacentral:lncRNA from 1 species
AAAAACAUAUUUCUUUACAUUUUGAUACCUUUUCAGUUAUAUAUCAGUGCUAUACCUUUUCUUUUUUUUUUUAAUUAAUUUUUAUUGGUGUUCAAUUUACCAACAUACAGAAAAACACCCAGUGCUCAUCCCGUCAAGUGUCCACCUCAGUGCCCGUCACCUAUUCCCCUCCAACACCCGCCCUCCUCCCCUUCCACCACCCCUAGUUCGUUUCCCAGAGUUAGGAGUCUUUAUGUUCUGUCUCCCUUCCUGAUAUUUCCCAACAUUUCUUUUCCCUUCCUUUAUAUUCCCUUUCACUAUUAUUUAUAUUCCCCAAAUGAAUGAGAACAUACACUGUUUGUCCCUCUCCGAUUGACUUACUUCACUCAGCAUAAUAUACCUUUUCUUUAUUGACACAUGUGAGGGACCAGGAGAUGGGCCUCUGACUCAGGUCUGUGCUCUGAAUUCCAUCACCGUGGUUUCAUGGAAGCCAGCUUUUCACUGGCUGUUCCCAGCCAAGGAUGGAGUAUACACGGUACAGGAGCCUGUAUAAGGGGCUGAGUCACAACCCUAAUAUAGGACCCCUCUAAGACUUAAAUAUCUAUGCUAUGAAGAAGCUCAAAUAUUCACAGAAUGAAAAUAUCUCCAUAAAAUCAUUCCAGAGUCUCAAGACCAUCACAUAUCAACAAGUAGGACUCACUUUUGAACAAAGCAGACAUAUUUCUAUGAGAAGAACUGUGUGAGCCAAAGGUAGACACUCAGCUGCUGAACCAUUCAGGUGCCUCAGUCAUAUGGAUCUUUAAAUGUAAGAUAAAUAAAUAAGAAAAACAGUAUUUAGAAAUUAUUGCU